GUGAUGAGGUGACGCAGGAGGGUAGCUCAACCCAGGCGAUGGUUGUUCCUGGGGUAAGCAUGUAGCCCGUGUGUAGGCAAAUCCGCACACCAUUAAGGGUGAGAUGUGAUGCCGAGCCGAUUUAGGUGAAGUGAGUGAUCCCAUGCCGCCGAGAAAAGCCUCUAGCGAUGUGUGUCGGCGGCCCGUACCCCAAACCGACUCAGGUGGUCAGGUAGAGAAUACCAAGGCGAUCGGGUGAACUGUGGUUAAGGAACUCGGCAAAUUGCCCCCGUAACUUUGGGAGAAGGGGGGCCCCUGCUGGUGACCAGACUAGCUCUGUGGAGCUGGUGGGGGUCGCAGAUACCAGGGGGAAGCGACUGUUUACUAAAAACACAGGUCCGUGCGAAGUCGUAAGACGUUGUAUACGGACUGACGCCUGCCCGGUGCUGGAACGUUAAGGGGACCGGUUAGUGUCUUUCGGGACGCGAAGCUGAGAACCUAAGCGCCAGUAAACGGCGGUGGUAACUAUAACCAUCCUAAGGUAGCGAAAUUCCUUGUCGGGUAAGUUCCGACCUGCACGAAUGGCGUAACGACUUCCCCACUGUCUCAACCACAGGCCCUGUGAAAUUGCACUACGAGUAAAGAUGCUCGUUACGCGCAGCAGGACGGAAAGACCCCGGGACCUUCACUACAGCUUGGCAUUGGCGUUUGGAGCGUCUUGUGUAGGAUAGGUGGGAGACUGUGAAGCUCAUACGCCAGUACGGGUGGAGUCAUUGGUGAAAUACCACUCUGGUCGUUUCGAGCGUCUAACCCGCACCCGUGAAUCCGGGUGGGGGACAGUGCCUGGUGGGUAGUUUAACUGGGGCGGUUGCCUCCCAAAAUGUAACGGAGGCGCCCAAAGGUUCCCUCAGCCUGGUUGGCAAUCAGGUGUUGAGUGCAAGGGCACAAGGGAGCUUGACUGUGAGACAGACAUGUCGAGCAGGUGCGAAAGCAGGGCCUAGUGAUCCGGCACCGACGUGUGGAAGUGGUGUCGCUCAACGGCUAAAAGGUACCCCGGGGAUAACAGGCUGAUCUUGCCCAAGAGUCCAUAUCGACGGCAAGGUUUGGCACCUCGAUGUCGGCUCGUCGCAUCCUGGGGCUGGAGUAGGUCCCAAGGGUUGGGCUGUUCGCCCAUUAAAGCGGCACGCGAGCUGGGUUUAGAACGUCGCGAGACAGUUCGGUCCCUAUCCGCUGUGCGCGCAGGAGACUUGCGAGGGUCUGUCCCUAGUACGAGAGGACCGGGACGGACGAACCUCUGGUGUGCCAGUUGUACCGCCAGGUGCAUGGCUGGUUGGCUACGUUCGGUCGGGAUAACCGCUGAAAGCAUCUAAGCGGGAAGCCUUCCUCAAGAUGAGGUCUCCCAACCUACGGGUUGUAAGGCCCCCAGCUAGACGACUGGGUUGAUAGGCCAGAAAUGGACGCACCGCAAGGUGUGGAGUUGACUGGUACUAAUAGGCCGAGUGGCUUGAACAC
rnacentral:rRNA from 1 species